CACAGUGGAUUGACUUCUCUGAGCUCCAGCUUCCCGGUGGAAGAGUGAUCGUCAGGUCCCCUGUUGCUCGACGCUUCCAGACAGCCACCCAUUGAGGACUCCAGCAAAUGCUGUCUUUUGGGAAAAAUGAACACAACUGAAGAGCUGGCAGAGGUGACUAAAGUUCUUCCAAGGAUCAGGAGACACAGAUUCUGAGAACAGAAGAGCUCUGGGAAAACAGGGCAGCCAACAUCUCUACACUAUGGGACAGAGCUGCCAGCGAGGAAAGGUA
rnacentral:lncRNA from 1 species